GAUGAACGCUGGCGGCGUGCCUAAUACAUGCCAGUCGAGCGAACGGACGAGAAGCUUGCUUCUCUGAUGUUAGCGGCGGACGGGUGAGUAACACGUGGAUAACCUACCUAUAAGACUGGGAUAACUUCGGGAAACCGGAGCUAAUACCGGAUAAUAUUUUGAACCGCAUGGUUCAAAAGUGAAAGACGGUCUUGCUGUCACUUAUAGAUGGAUCCGCGCUGCAUUAGCUAGUUGGUAAGGUAACGGCUUACCAAGGCAACGAUGCAUAGCCGACCUGGGAGGGUGAUCGGCCACACUGGAACUGAGACACGGUCCAGACUCCUACGGGAGGCAGCAGUAGGGAAUCUUCCGCAAUGGGCGAAAGCCUGACGGAGCAACGCCGCGUGAGUGAUGAAGGUCUUCGGAUCGUAAAACUCUGUUAUUAGGGAAGAACAUAUGUGUAAGUAACUGUGCACAUCUUGACGGUACCUAAUCAGAAAGCCACGGCUAACUACGU
rnacentral:rRNA from 1 species